rnacentral:rRNA from 1 species
UACAGAGGUCCCAAGCGUUGUUCGGAUUCACUGGGCGUAAAGGGUGCGUAGGUGGUGAGGUAAGUCGGAUGUGAAAUCUCCGGGCUCAAUCCGGAAAUGGCAUUGGAAACUACCUUGCUAGAGGAUUUGAGGGGGGGGAUUGGAAUACUUGGUGUAGCAGUGAAAUGCGUAGAUAUCAAGUGGAACACCAGUGGCGAAGGCGAAUCCUGGAAAUACCUGACACUGAG